UGUCUCACUCCUGGAGAGGGAUCAUGGCUAUAGAGAUUGGCACCUAACGCCCUUUCACAGACAGGGCCUAGGGCACACACCUCUCCUUGACAUUUCCUACUGGCUGAUGUAGGGGCUUCCCACUCAGCUUUCUGGCUUCUGUGAAUCCCAUUUGUAGGCGACUAACUAACCUCAGGCAUUAUGUGCAGAUCCUGGGCACCUAACUCAGGGUUGCGAAUUCCAGUAGUGUAUAGGGUGUUGAAAAGUUAGGCUCAGCAAUGCAGCACCUAAAUCUCCCUUGUGAACCUAGUAGCCAAAAUCCCUUUCAGCGCCACUCACCCACUACUCUCACAAAUGGUUAAGAUUUUCUUCGGCAUUAGCGCCCUUAUAUUUGUAUUACUUUUUCCCCUUCCAUGUAGAAGGGGAUAAUGUUUCUUCAGAUGUCGAGGUAUAGUUGGUAAAUGCAAAGUUAAUCUUAUCACAGCUGCUGCUUGAUUCGUGAGGCAGCCCUGAUAACGUCUGGACUGAGGUGAGAGAGGGAACCUGGAAAUGAUUCGGCUUUCUACCAGGCUUUGCAGAAGACUGGACUAGAAAAGAACAUUUUGUUUUUGCUGAAGCAAGUGGUCACACCACAGAAUGGGAGGAAUACCAGCAAGGACAGCUGUGGGAUGUGUGCAUUGAAGAGACAACACUGAAAACACAGGAUGGUGUAAACAUCAGAAACUGGAUAACUGUGGAAGAAUGGAGGAAGAAUGAAGUACAUUUACAUGGGAAAAAGUACCGUGUCCUUUACCAUACGGAGCUAUUCCUUUCAGAAAAUUACCAUCUGCUGAAAUAGCAAAAGCAAAAUUGGAUUUUUCCCUAGUACGCUUUUUAAAAGCCACUUCAAGUUCAAACCCAUAUAUUUAAGUCUAUUCAUUUCAGCAUCAUUCGGUAGCAACCUUAAUCUAUUACCACCAUUCACUAUAAUGGAAAAACGUCAACAGUUCAGAACGAGGGAGAUGCAUAUCAGAAUAUCUCACAGCUCAGUGGAGAGAGCACUCACUGUAGAGGUGGCAGAUUCCUGUUCAAAUCCCUUCUCCUCAGGCAGAGGGGGGAAUUUAACAGGUAAGUACCCUAACCACUGAGCUAACAGUAAUAAGGGGAAGUCCUGUUCCCCACCCCACUGUCUGUUUUGUUGGAGUUAGGUACAAGGCUGCCCAGGGGGGUGGGGGGGGCAAUUUGCGCUGGGCCCCGCAGGGACCCCCAUGAGAAUAUAGUAUUCUAUAGUAUUGCAACUUUUUUUUAUGGAAGGGGCCCCCAAAAUUGCUUUGCCCCAGGCCCCCUGAAUCCUCUGGACAGCCCUGGUUAGGUAGCCUCUGAGCACACCUAUCAGAUCAGGCCCCGUAUAUGAGUUUAGUGGAUGAAUGUCUAGGUUGCCCUGGUUCACGAAUCACUAGAGGAGAUAGGCACCUGCCUGCAGGCUGACUUAGCCACCUAUCUCCAUGAGACAGACAGGGCUUAGGAUCACGGGCGGAUUAAGGUCUCCUGGGGCCCUGAGCCAGAGGAAGUGGGGGGUCCCAGCACUGAAACCAUGGUCCGGCCCCACCCCUUCCGCCGGUGGUCCUGCCCCCCAUUCCACCCCUUCUCCCCCUUCCCCCACUACCCCACCCCUGUUCUAUCCAUGGUCCCACCCCAUUCCACCCCUUCCCCCGUCCCCGUUCCACUCAAUUUGGCUCAAUUGCACUGGUGUAAGUCCAGAGUUACUCUAUUGGUUUCACUGGUGUUACCUCAGAUUUAUGCUGGUGUAAUUGAUGCAGAUGUGGCUCAUCUGUGUGGUCCCCCAAAUUAUAAACAUUUACAUUAUUUUGACAUAGUUAAAAAUUAUAGAAAUCAUAGUAUGCGAGGGGGGUGGACGGGUUAACAAGUAAAUGCUAAUUUCUGCCUUGUUGGCAUUGAAAAUGCCAAGAUUGCAAGCAAAGUCUGAGCACUUUUUAUUUCUCUCUAAAGCUUAGUAUUUUUGCAUUUAAAGGUUAGCCUAUUCCGGUUUUCUUCUUACCAGAAUUCUAAAUUAAAGAUGGUUUCAAAAAUGAGUGAAGUAAUUCCUAUAGGCAUAGCAUGUAGAGUUUGAUUUUACCAUCCUGCUGCAUACAGAACUUGUAUUGAAAUUAUUUCCAAAGGAAAUGAAGCCUCAUGGAAUCAUGGAGCUAGAUGAGUGCAACUCAGAAAUAUUAAGAUUUCAAAUCCUUUGGCCUAUCCUCCUUUCUGAAUACAUGAUAUUUAGAAACCCCCUUUUGUAAUUUAUAGUAAGUAUUAAGAGCCUUGAUAAUACUCCAUUAAAGUCAACUGUAGUUUUCCCAUUACCUUUGUGGUGCUGGCAGAGCAGGUAUCAGCUCAUGUCAGAGCCCCCCGGCCAAUUCACUUGUGUAUUAGUAUAGAUGAAAGUGAUUGUUAAAUGUAUAUAAGAGUGUAUUUGGUGUUUAAACUUCAUGAAAACUAGUGGGAUGUUACUUGCAUUGUUUUCACUUAUCUGUAUCCCAUUAUAAUGUAGGAGCAGACAUUUACUUUGUGUAUACACCUGUAACUAAAUAACCCAACAAACAAGCCAUCAAACAAGAAGAAAGAAACCUUGUUUAAAUAAUGGACUUUAACAGAAAAGUGCUAAUUUCAAAUCAAGUGGUCAUUGUGUGUGAUGAUCGGAGGUCACAAUGCAUUCCUCACUCUCGUCGUCAAAGGAAAAGUCCAUGUGGGUAGUGACACUGUAAGCUUGUUUUCUGUCAGAAGAAGCUAUAAGUAUGGAUUCAAAGAAAGAUCCUACAUCUCUGGACUGUUUGGACUCUUACAGGGAAAUGUACCAGAUCUAAAGCAGAGGUCCCCGGGGACAAUCUGGGUACCCUGAAAAGACUUUUGGGAAACUGGCAGUUUAUUACAUCACUGCCACCAUCUGGAAUUACAAACUGUGACUCACCUGUGCAUAUAUUUUACUUGCUUAAACCUCUCAAUAACUCUCAUAUCCUUUUCUUAUCUAAUAAACCUUUAGUUAGUU